GGACCUGACUGCUAUCGGAUUGAUACUAAGCCAUGCGAGUCAUUGUAGCAAUACAAGGCAUACGGCUCAGUAACGCGUAGUCAACCUAACCUAUGGACGGGAAUAACCUCGGGAAACUGAGAAUAAUGCCCGAUAGAACAUUAUGCCUGGAAUGGUUUAUGUUCCAAAUGAUUUAUCGCCGUAGGAUGGGACUGCGGCCUAUCAGUUUGUUGGUGAGGUAAUGGCCCACCAAGACUAUUACAGGUACGGGCUCUGAGAGGAGUAGCCCGGAGAUGGGUACUGAGACACGGACCCAGGCCCUAUGGGGCGCAGCAGGCGAGAAAACUUUGCAAUGUGCGAAAGCACGACAAGGUUAAUCCGAGUGGUUUCUGUUAAAGAAACCUUUUGUCAGUCCUAGAAACACUGAUGAAUAAGGGGUGGGCAAGUUCUGGUGUCAACC
rnacentral:rRNA from 1 species